GACGAACGCUGGCGGCGUGCUUAACACAUGCAAGUCGAACGGAAAGGCCCUGCUUUUGUGGGGUGCUCGAGUGGCGAACGGGUGAGUAACACGUGAGUAACCUGCCCUUGACUUUGGGAUAACUUCAGGAAACUGGGGCUAAUACCGGAUAGGAGCUCCUGCUGAAUGGUGGGGGUUGGAAAGUUUCGGCGGUUGGGGAUGGACUCGCGGCUUAUCAGCUUGUUGGUGGGGUAGUGGCUUACCAAGGCUGUGACGGGUAGCCGGCCUGAGAGGGUGACCGGCCACAUUGGGACUGAGAGACGGCCCAGACUCCUACGGGAGGCAGCAGUGGGGAAUAUUGCACAAUGGGCGGAAGCCUGAUGCAGCAACGCCGCGUGCGGGAUGACGGCCUUCGGGUUGUAAACCGCUUUCGCCUGUGACGAAGCGUGAGUGACGGUAAUGGGUAAAGAAGCACCGGCUAACUACGUG
rnacentral:rRNA from 1 species